AUUGAACGCUGGCGGCAUGCUUUACACAUGCAAGUCGAACGGUAACAGGCCUUCGGGUGCUGACGAGUGGCGAACGGGUGAGUAAUGCAUCGGAACGUACCCAGAGGUGGGGGAUAACGCAGCGAAAGCUGUGCUAAUACCGCAUGUGAUCUGAGGAUGAAAGCGGGGGACCGAGCAGCAAUGUUUGGCCUCGCGCCUUUGGAGCGGCCGAUGUCGGAUUAGCUAGUUGGUGGGAUAAAGGCCUACCAAGGCGACGAUCCGUAGCUGGUCUGAGAGGACGACCAGCCACACUGGGACUGAGACACGGCCCAGACUCCUACGGGAGGCAGCAGUGGGGAAUUUUGGACAAUGGGCGCAAGCCUGAUCCAGCAAUGCCGCGUGCGGGAAGAAGGCCUUCGGGUUGUAAACCGCUUUUGGCAGGAACGAAACGGUGUCCGCUAAUACCGGGCGCUAAUGACGGUACCUGCAGAAUAAGCACCGGCUAACUACGUG
rnacentral:rRNA from 1 species